AUUUCCCCCCGACUCCCGCCCCGGUCACCAUCCUACCCUCCUCCCUCCUCCUUUCCCCUUACUCCGCUCCCCUCUUUUCCCUCCCCCUCCUCCCCUUCCCUCUGUUCUCUCCUCCUUUUCCCCUCCCCUCCCCCGUCCGGAGCACUCUAUAUUCAAGCCACCGUUUCCUGCUUCACAAAAUGGCCACCGCACGCGACACCUACGGUCACGUGGCCUGCCGCCCUCUCAGUUUCGGGAAUCUGCCUAGCUCCCACUAAGGGGAGGCUACCCGCGGAAGAGCGAGGGCAGAUUAGACCGGAGAAAUCCCACCACAUCUCCAAGCCCGGGAACUGAGAGAGGAAUUAGAGUGAAGGCCAGUGUUAGGAAAAAAAAAAAACAAAAAAAACGAAAAACGAAAGCUGAGUGCAUAGAGUUGGAAAGGGGAGCUUUGCUGGCCUAGACCUGAACUCUUCAGAUAAUCAGAGUGGAGGAAGUACAGCCAGCAAAGGGCGCUAUAUUCCUCCUCAUUUAAGGAACCGAGAAGCUACUAAAG
rnacentral:sRNA from 1 species